GGCUCUGUAGUGUAGCGGUCAUCACUCAAGAUUCUGAUAGCGAAGCCACAUCUGCGUCUCGCGUUCUUGAUUCUUGAAACCCAGGUUCGAUUCCUGGCAGGGCCU